rnacentral:lncRNA from 1 species
UUUUUUUUUUUGGUUAAUUAUAAUAACAGGGUAAAACUCGAAUAAUCAACACGACUAGUGGGACCCGAAUCUAAGCCACACCUGGGGCGGUGAACACACUUGACCAUCAUGUCAUCACAUGAGGUUCAAUGUAUCUUUCACGUUAAACGGUCAGUGAAGAUUAAUUUUAUUGGAGUUAAUGAUUACUCAUUUCAAUAAUGUCAAUUUUAAUAUUAGAAUAAUUUUUUUAUCUGAGAGUACAAUAUAAUUAAUUAUUGUAUCAAAUACUUGUUAAUAAAACAAAAACUAAUAUAUACAUUGUAACAGCCUAAUUUUCAGUGGUGUCAGAAACAAUGAUUCGAGAUCACUAAAUCUGACAAGUGAGUCUUAAAAUUUAAUAAAUUAAUAAUUAUGGGUCAAGUGUGAAUUUAGAAGAAUUUUUGAAUUAGUGAAUUUUGUGAUUUAAAAAGAAUUUAAUAGGUAAAUUGGGUCUAAAAUACGGUGUCGAGACAUCGAGUUCAUAAACCGAGCCAUAAAUAUUUUUAUAAAUAUUUAUGGAAUGUCAUUGAGUUAGUAUAAAAGUUUCGUUAGAAAAUUUUAACGUUUGGUUAGUCAAUUAACUAAAAAGGACUAAAUUGAGAAUAGUGUAAAACUUGUUAAAUUAUGAUUAAAUAGCUUAAGUGACUAAUGAGGAGGAUUUAAAAGGCAAUUAGGCCCAAAAUUUUAUGGGCUGGACGGUUAGGCAAGAAAAAUCAACAGGAAAGUAAGGAGAAAUAAGAGCAAAAUUGGAAAUUUUACAAAUUAAAUAUAUAAAACAAAGAUAAAAGUGAAAAAUCUAGAGAUAUCAUCAUUUUUCUUCAGCCAAAACGUAAUAGGAGAGGGUUUUCAAGCUGGUUUUUCAUAUUUUUCAUCACGUAAGUUCAAUUCUUGCUUUUUCUUUGAAAUUUUCAUGUUUUGUGACUUUUACAACUAGGUCCAAUUAUUGAAUUUAUUAGUUUUUGAAUUUAUGAGUGAUUUUGUAAGUUACCAUGAAUAAUUUCUGGAAUUUUAUGAUGAACUAUUAUAGAUUUUAAGUCUUAAUUUCAUUAUAUUAUGAUCUUAUUAAAAUGAUUUUAGUAGAAAAUGAUUUUUAGGGCCUAAUUGUGAAAAAGUUAGGAAUUGGGGUUUUGUACUGAAAUUAUGAAUAUCAAAGGCUGUUUAGUAGCCUAAAAUGGUUAGAUAGGGUGUUAAUUGAAAAAAAAAAAUAGAUCAAUUGAAGGGUUAAUUGAGUAGGGACCAAAUUGUAAAAAUUGUAAAUUUUGAGGUAAAAGUGUAAUUUUGAAAAUUGAAAGACAUAAAUUGUGAAGAAAAUUAGUAUUGAAUUAGAUGCUAAUGAAUGGAAAAUUUUAUAUUAUAGAUCGGGAAUCCGAAGAUAAACGCGGUAAAGAGAAAGUAUCGAGCUAGUUUCUGAACUUUUACAACUUUUACGAAUCGGCCCAAGUAAGUUCAUAUGGCUGAAUUUUUAUGAUUAAUUGUUAAUGUGGAAAUGAUAUAUUGUAUAAAUUCGUAUAUUGUUACUGAAUUAUGAUUAUGGUAAAAAUGAGAAGAAGAUGAGAUUGUUAGUUCAAAUUAAGGGAUACGCAGGAUUGAGUACACAUGUUUGGCAACCAACGACGAAUUGACGGAUAAGUCCAUGGUGGAUCCAUGGCAAAGUGUGAAAAGUAGGUAUGGUGUUUCGGUGAAGAAAACCAUACUGAGUUGUAAAAAGUAGGUAUGAUGUUUCGGUGAAGAAAACCAUACUGAGUUAUGAAAAGUAGGUAUGGUGUUUCAGUGAAGAAAACCAUACUGAGUUGUGAAAAGUAGGCAUGGUAUUUCCGUGAAGAAAACCAUACUGAGUUAUAGCAAUGUGAAAUAUUCAAGCAAAUUGUGGCACCGGGCAAACGAUGUACUCAAUUCCGUAAGACUAUCCUUAAUUUGACAGGUAUUUGUAAGUGCAAUUGAAGCUAAAUGUCGGAAUAGAAGUUGACAUCUGAUAUUGAGCUCGAUUGGAUAUAUUUAUUAUCUGAGAUUGUGGUUGGCAGGAAAUGUUGAAUUUUUAUUUGUUUGUUAAUGUUGUUAGUGAAAUUUUGGUAAUAUUUUAUUAUGAGCCUGUGAACUUACUAAGCUUUCUGUAAGCUUACUGGUGUGUGUUUACUGUUUCUUGUAGAUUGACGUAUAUAUAUAUUUCGGAGGAUCGGAUCUACAACAACGAUCACACUAUCCAGAUUUACUCCGGUAGAUUUUGUUAAACAACUUUUUGGAUUUAUAUGGCAUGUAUAGGGAAUUGAAGUAAAAAGUAUUAGUAUGAAUGACUAAGUAUGCAAAAUAAAUUUGAAUGUUAUGGUUGUGUUAGAUAUCGAAAUAUAUACAUGUUUUUAGUUUGAAAUGGUUGAUUGGUUAAACUUCAUUAGUAUUUAAAUGAAGUAGUUGAAAUACUGGAAUUGGUUGUGAUUUAAAUUUGCAGGGAAGGUUAGAUAAUUAUAAAUGGGUUAUAUUGAAAUUUUUUUAAAAUUUGUAAUGGAACAGUUUUUGGAUAUAUGCAUUAAGGUAACUUUGAAAAAUCAUAAAAAAUGGUGGAAAUUGAAUUAGAAGCUGAGUGAGAUACUAAAUUAAAGCUGAAUGAGUCUACUUUUACAUGAAAGAAAUAGAUUAAGAAAAAAAGUUGUAUAUUUUUAGAUAUUUGAAUUUUAGUGAGACAGGGUCAGAAUGAUUUUGAGGUCCCCUGUUCUGACUUUAGAAAUUCAUUAAAAAUUUCACAGAAGGAAUUAUGUGUUAUAAUUUAUAUGUAUAGAUUCCUUGAUGAGUCUAUUUUCAGGAGAAAUAAGUGGAAGCACCAUAUGAAGUCUGUACAAAGAGAUAAUUGAAUUUUAGUGACAAGAGGUCAGGAUGGUCGGUCACUGAAAUAGGGGAGACUUUAACUAAUAAACUGUACUAAUUGGCUAAACCAAAAAUUCUGAAAAAUUUAAGGUGAAAAGAUAUAUGAGUCUAGUUUCAGGGAAAAUUUACGGAUCUAAAUUUUGAGUCUCGUAACUCUAGUUAUAAUUAAAUAAGUAACUGCUGUGCAGGUGGACAGAUUUGCUGUAAAUAGUGAAAUAAAUUUUCAAACUAAGUUUUUAUGCUCCGAAUUAGUAAGAUAAGUUAAGUAAUGCCUCGUGCUCGACCCCGGCUACGGUCUCGGGUAAGAGGUGUUACAUACAUUUAGUAUUAACUUAAAAAACAUAAAAAAUAAAAUUCACCCUUUUAGGGUUUACCAGUUUUUUUACAAUAAAAAAAAAAACUAACGUCAACUGGUUUUCAACAUGGUGCCACACAACACUAAUGACAUUUUUGAAUAAAUUUUAUAAAAAAAUAUAAAAAUAUAAAAAAGGCUUGAAUGGUUAAAAGAACAAAUGUAAAAUAAAUUGACAUCCAAUUUCUCGAAAUUAUCUCAUCUGUUGAAACCCCUAAGGUGUAUAAUUUAAUUGCAAAUGAAAGUUUUUUUUAUUGUUAUUCUUUUAAUUAUACAUUAAUAAAUUGAAUAAUUUUAUUUUGCAAUAAUUACAUAAAAUAGAAACACUGUAUUCAAUUUCUAUUUGCGAGUAUGUUUUGGCUCCCUUAUUUUCCUUGAAUUUUUAACCAAUUUUGUGGUGGUUUUUGUGAUGGAUUAAAUCAACUCGUUAAUAUCAAAUCCGUAAUAAUUGUUUAUUGAAAUUGGUUUUGUACAUCCUUUUCUGGAAACUUUUGGCAUUCAUUAUGUAUCUCUCUCUCAUCCAGCGCGCUUUUAUGAUGUGCAAGCAACUGUGAGAAAUCACAUUUUCAUUUUGAUUUUUUUAAAAUCUACUGCUUUUAUUUUUUUGUUGUUGUUGUUCAGUGAAUUGUGUUGGGUAGUAGUUUUGAAUUAAUAAACUUAUUAUUUCUCCAAAAGAAAUACAAAUAGUAUUAUAUUAUUACCUCCAUUGAGUUGGCGCCGCGGUGAGAAAGAAAACCCUAAUUUCCUCUUCUACAUUGAGGUCAAGGGCGAAGGGUGAUCCAGACAGAGGGCCGGGUUUUUCACAAAUGGUCACUUUCCGGGUAAGAGCCAAAUCGUUUCUCUUUUCUCGCUACCUGCAUCCCUAUUGAUUUCCCUCUUUUACCUUCAGAAUUUCACGAUUAUUCCUCGUUUUGGGCCUUUUUUUUUUUGUUUUUUAAAGAACUUUAUUUGAUGUUAUGCUUGGUUUUUAAAGUAUGGCGCAAAACAGAUUUGUUUUCAAUUCUUUUGAUGAGUUUAAUAGCAACCAAAGGCAGGAAUAAUGAAUAAUGUAAGGCGAAAAUGGAAGUUUUGAUUUACGUUUUUGUUUAAGGAUGCAGUUCCACCAGUAUCAAGUUGUUGGGAGGGCUCUCCCAACGGACAGCGAUGAGCAUCCCAAGAUUUACAGGAUGAAGCUUUGGGCCACCAAUGAGGUUCGGGCCAAGUCCAAGUUCUGGUUAGUGAUUAUUAUGAUUGCCGUCUUUUGCUUUUGGGUUUGAUUUAAUUCCAAAUUUGAGGGUUUUUGACGGUUGCAUUUCUCCAUGGAUAUCAUCAGGUACUUCCUGAGGAAGCUGAAGAAGGUUAAGAAGAGCAAUGGCCAGGUCCUUGCCAUCAAUGAGGUAUGUGCUCAAUGUUAUUUUUUGAUGGUUCACCAUUCAAUCUGUAUGAAGUAAUUUAUCAUGGAAUGAUACGUUGAAAUUUGAAUGAGACGAUCCUUUUAUUUGUAUGUUCUGACAUUUUUGUGAGAAAUAGGGUUUAUGUUGGUUAGUGCCUUAAACUAUUGUGUGUGGGAUUCCCCACAUUUAGCUUAUGAUUGUGCUAUUAAGAUGGAAAUUUGUUUUGAUCAACUUGUCUCUAGUAUUUCCUGUGAAAAACUGCGAAUUAGAUGGCAAAGAAAAAUCUAAUCUUAAAGAGUCCUUUUUGCCAUUUUGUUAACAUUUGUAGGAUUUUCAUGCAUCUUGAAUAUGAAGUUUCUGGUCUUUUGUGCUAUUUGCUUCUCUUUGUAGUAAUGCAUGUUAUAUAACAUGUUUGUGUUUUUUGAAUGUCCUUUGCACUGAGUGAUUUAAUAACUUCACUUUUUGGGACUACAUAUUUAAGGUUUUGAAUGUGAAUGCUGAUCUUGGAAUUGAAAUUGGUUUGUAAUCUUUGGAAACAAGAUGCUGCAGCUUUCUGAUACAUUCUUCAAUUUCUUUCUGAUUCCCCUUGCCCAAAUGAAAUCCUCGGCAGAUUUUUGAAAAGAAUCCAACCAAGAUAAAGAAUUAUGGUAUUUGGCUUCGCUAUCAAAGCCGUACCGGUUAUCACAACAUGUACAAGGAGUACCGUGACACUACUUUGAAUGGAGCUGUUGAACAGAUGUACACUGAGAUGGCUUCUCGGCACAGAGUCAGGUUCCCUUGCAUUCAGAUUAUCAAGACUGCAACCAUCCCAACUAAGCUAUGCAAGAGGGACAACACCAAGCAGUUCCACAACUCUAAAAUCAAGUUCCCCUUGAUGGUCAAGAAGGUGAGGCCACCUACCAGGAAGCUGAAGACAACCUAUAAGGCAUCAAGGCCCAACCUGUUUAUGUAACUUGUAUGUUUUGAUGAAGGAGAGUUAAGAGGUUGUUCGAUUUUUGGAAUUUUUGGUAAGUGAAUCUCCAUUAGUUUGUUGAUCAGAUAUUGUUUCAUUCGAGAAGCCUAGGUUGUCAGACAAGUUGAACCUGGGUUCUUUUCUGGGGCUCAUUUUUGUUCUUAUAAAUGUUGGUAUUGUUAAGUUAAGUAUAAUUUAAUGUUAAAAUUCUUUUUGGUGGGGUUGGAAUUUCCCAGGGCAACUUGCGCAAGUCCAGAAACAACUUACUUUUUUGAGAAUGGUUGGAAGCCAUUUAGUUUUAUAUAAGGAAACAAAUGUGAUCGCUCAUAAAUGAAGAGGCUAAUAUUUCUUAACCACAACCGUUCCCAUCUCAAGCAUGAACAUUUGCUAUGAAUCACUCAAUUCAAUAGCAUUUUUGUCAAGUAUUUCACCCUCUUAAAAGUAGUUUCUGGUAAGCCAAGUGGCUCUUUUUGUUGCUUGAUAACUUAUUACAAUAUUAAUUUUCCAUCAAAUACUUCACCUACCCACCAAGAAAACAAGUAUUAACCAUAAGCAUGAUCAUAUUACAUCCAUCUAACAAUUAAAAGCUGCUCCUCUCAUAAAAUGUUCCUAGUAAUAAUAAUGUUGUUCUUGGUUUUGAACUAGUACGAGAUAAGCAGGUAAUGGAGCACCAAGACUAGUGCCCCAGAAAAUUAAUAAGUAAUAUAACAUUUCAUAACAUAGAUGAUAAACAGGACUGAUCAUGCACCCUGCAAUUGGAGGGACUUGGGGUGGGAAUGGAACUUCAGAAAGAAAAGAAUCCAAGACAGUGGGACUUGCGACAAGUCGGCUAAUCUACGUGCAAUUCAUGUAUCGGUGUGUUCUCCUAUAAUUAUGAACCACCCGACCUGGAAACUUUUAUUGGGUGGACGAUUCGAGAUCUUUAGGAGGAAAGGAGACAACAUCUGCAGCAGAACAUAUUGUUGCUUUCAAAUAAUUUGGAAAGAAAGAUACAGUGGAUAUCUGAACUGUAUAGAAAUUGAAUAAGAUGGCGAAGGAAGAAAAAAAGAAGAGGGUGGUGGUCGAAUCCCUAGGAUGGCUAACGGAAUCUUCCAUCAUGCCCAAGUUCGUAGGGCCUGGAAGAACUGCUGGAAUCCUUGACAAUGAUGAGCAUAAGCAUUUCGUAAGGUCAGGAUUUUACUUCUCUUCUCGCUAAUGUUAUGUUAAUUCACGUUAACUUAAGAUUAAAUGUUCGAUGGAGUUCACAAUUCACGGGGGUUUGCAUUUUUCCUGUUGUGCCACAGUUUGGAUAGUUGCCUAUAGCAUUUGGUUACAAGGUUAUUUGAGGUCUAAGAGAUUUAGCCACAUGGCAUAGUGAAACAAUCUCCUAGUAUCAUGCUGUUUCAUCCAUUUUCAUCAUUAGCCUUUCAUUCACCUCCCAUUAUACAUUGUUGAGUGUUCAUGGAUUUGAGGUGAAAUUCUCUUAAUAGUUUUUUAUAAUGUUGUUGAAAAUUUACCUACAAAUUUGCUACGAAUUUGAGUUAAUGUCCCUUUUCGAAUUUAUUGCUACAACCACUAGUUGGCUGCCUGUUUUCAUCUUGCUUAUUUUUAUGAUUUAUUUGCCUGAUGGAGUGAGAUAUAUCUGAAUAUGAUAGUCACUAGUCCAUGGAUUGUGCACAAUGUAGAGAAGUUUAUGUGUGAAUAUGGUAAUCUAAGACAUUACUGGAGGUCCUGAAGAUUGGAAAUAAUAUUAAAAAUCUGAAGUUCAAAGUCAAGAUAAAAAAUAUAAUGUAUUUGGAUUGCUUGUGAAACUGAAAGUGAAGGCCCUAAAUGAUUUUAUUGAUGUUUGUUCACACAGAAGUUCAUGAAGAAGUCAAUCAAGCAAGGGAGAGAGUGUCUGAACUAAAAUUGCGAAGGCAAGAGCAAGCAGCAGCUCAUCGUGAGAAACUCAGGCAGGCCUAUCUUCGGAAACAAGUGGAGAAGUUGAAGUCUGCGUCAAAAACAGAACAGGCAUGAGUAGUAGAGCUGGAAAGGUGAUAUGUGACUAUGCAAAUGGAAAUAGAGAGAAACCCCCAUUGUAUUAUUUACUAACUUGCAUUGAUUUCGUCCUCUGUGCAUAACAAAAUUUAGUUACAAAUCAACUCACCGGUUUGCUCACUAGAAUAUAUUUAUUCACUGUUUUUUACCCCAUCAUUCUUAUGGAACAUAUAGCAAUUGCAGUCGUACCGCCCUCGUUUAUCUGUCAUUUUUGCUUGAGGCUGAUUGCAGCAUCAGCGUAGAAAAUGAGUGAGUUCUCUUUCCUAUUGUACAAAAUACGUUUUAGCCAAUUAACAUGUAGGAUUCUGAAUCAUUCUAGACUGUCAGCAGUUAGCUUGUUUAGAAGUAGAAUUUGGGGGGGGGGGGUUAGCUAUGUUUUACUCUUUUAACUGCAAAUAUCAGCAGUUGAAGUAUUUGCUGGUAUUGUUGAUUUGAUUUAUAUGGGAAUGGCUCUUUGUUAUGAAGUUGUUUAUUUUUGAGUAAAACAGCAGAAUGUUGGAAGUUUGGAAAUAUAAUAGAAAAAUGCGUGUGAACAAGUCAGAUGGGAAGAUCCAAUGGAAACUACAACUGCCUUUUAAAAUCAUUGUUUUCUUAAGAUUUGCACAAAUUGUCGCCCAUGUAAGAGCUCUUGCCCAUCGUGUUUAUAAACAUAUGAAACAAGGGGCCAUCUUUUCCUUGAGUGCUGUUUGGCUUGGCUCUUCCUUUGGGUAUAAAGGAUUUUAUUCUCCUGGUCCUGGAGGUCCUCCAUCAAUCAGGAUCCUGUCAAAGGGGGUAUGUGGGUGCAAAGGAACGAGGUUGUCUUCAGAAAAGGGAAUACUAAUCCUAUCUCUCGGUUAUUCUUUCAAGUAAAAUCGUUUGGUGAGGUAUGGUUAUUAGCUUUUGACAUGAAGGGCUAGAGGAGAUCAGAUUGACUCGCCUUCUUCAGGAGAAGAGCCUAAAACGAAAAUGGGUUAUGGCAUUGCUUUUUGCUUUAAUUCUCAAGGACAGUGGUUAUCUGCUUUAUCGACGCAGAACCUUGAGCAUCAAGUGGCAGCCCUCAUUUUGCUGAGAGAAAAUUUCCUUCAAGUCGCAAAGAAAAACCUGAAGCUUUUUAAUUGGCAAUCCUGUUGAAAAAUUAAGAAAAACGACUCCGCUGGGGAUCGAACCCAGAAUCUCUGGUUCCGUAGACCAGCGCCUUAUCCAUUGGGCCACGGAGUCAAUUUUUGAAAGGAAGUGGCUAUUUUUACUAUAUCAUCAAAAGUGAGAUCUAAGGUCCGAUACAAGGUUGAUCCAUAUGGGUCAAAAGACGAGAAAACACCUGAUGACCCUAAAACUUUAUUAAUACAUCUUCACACUCUCAUUAUCAACCCAUACAACUGCCAAGCAUAGCCCAUACAUCAACCAUGAUUUGUUUAUACUCGUAUCAAGUAUACAAGGACUUGUUUAUUAGUUGGAAUGGAAAUAAGUUUUAUGUUUUCAAAGUAAGUUUGCGAUUCAAGUAAAAAAUAAUGGUGGAGUUUAGGGUUUAGAGUCCCAUAACUUAUUAUGAUAUGGCAAAACACCAUCUAAAAUUAACUGUUAGGAUAGAUACACUUCAAAAUUCUAUUGUAUUUAUAAACAAGGUUUAAAAUUAACUCUUCAGAUCUUGAGAUUAUUACUUCAAUUUAAACAAAAAUUAAAUUGGAUUACGAUAACUGUGUGAUAAAAAAAAUAGAAGAAAGGCUUUCUUUUUCUUUAAAUUUUGCAUUAUUUUUAACCUACACUUUGUUAUACUCCAUGUCCAUGAAAAAAAAAAACACACACACACAAAAUUGAGAAACAUAGCAUAAAGCAACUCUACUAAACAACGAAGCCCCUAUUUUGACACACGUCUUACAUGCAUAAGAGAACAGCAACCCAUUGUCACCGCCACUAAUCUCUCCUCCUCUCCACCACCGCUCCACCACCUCCGAGCGACGUUGCCACCUCUCUUUCGACCAUUUCUUCAUCCGCCACCUCCUUCACGCUAAACGACAAACACUCUCUCCUCAUCAAGAACCUCCCAGUUGGCGGAACCCACAAAGCAACCCUUGUGGCCUACCCGAACUCCUCCAAACUUGCACCGUCAAGCACUGAAUCGGGUUAUCCACCGGAUCCGAAGCAUCCCCUCCUUUCAAGACAUCGCAAAGUAAAACCCUGGCACUCCCCGCUGGCUUCUCCCUCACGUGCCCAUGCUCGUAUAUGUCGACGUUCACCGCCGCCAACACGUCCUUCUCCGCCAGCUUGGCGUGGAACUUCACCUUCACCAAUUGGUUCCUUGUGGGGUUGGUCCCUCCAUGCUCGUCCACUUGGGUUUUGGCCAUGUGGAAGUCCUUUUCCACGUAGACAACCGCGUAGGCUCUCAUUUUGGUCAAGUGCUUCACGUUCUUGAGGUCUUGAGCUGAGAUUAUGAGAACCUCAAUCUCUCUUAGCUCAUCUUCCCCUCGUUGAAAUGUUGUCCAGCUUUCCGACAUAAUGCUCAUGAUGCAGGAACAUAAAUAAUUUCUCUUUUAUUUUGCUGAACUAAACAAAAAAAAUUCCAAUUUGUCCAAUUUACUAUUGGGCUCUCUGUAAUGUCAUGGCCCAAACUUCACAAUGUUUUGAACUUUUUUGGGUUUGGACUUUCGAGUUUCCACCAUUUGUUAUUUUUUAAUAAAUUUAAAAUUUUAACAUUGUAAUUAAUAUUUUCUUGUUUUAAAAGGUUGAUGGUUGAAUUUGACUUUUUUUUAAAGGUUGAGGACUAAAUUAAUAAAAAAGAAGGCUUUUUUUCAAACAUUCCUCAAAAUUUUAACAGAACAAAUUACAGCAAAGGUUUGGAACCCAAUUCGCCAGGCAUGGUUCAGCAAUCCAAUGAAGGACAGAAGUAGCCGCAUUGGUAAUAACCCAAAAACAACAUUGGCCUCACUGGGGAUUCAAGCUAUGUCCUAUGAGUAUGAUAUCAUCAUUACAGAAAUCUCUCAUGGACCCAUUCAAAGCAUGUAUGAUGUUUAUGCAGUUAAAUUUGGGGCACAUUACAAAAUUCCUCCUACACUGGAACAUGCUCUUUAUCCCCAAUAUUCCAUCCACUCAAAGUCUCUCUUUGGUGUUUUGAUUCAAGUAUUUCCAUAAUUGAAUUACUUUGAACUUUUCCCCACUUUAUUACAAUUUUCUUUUAAUAAAGGAUGAUCAUCACCAUUUUUUUUCUUUAAUAAUAUAUUAAAAUUGUGUAAAAAUUAUGAUCCAGCUAUGGGUAAAGUGCAUGGUGCUUCCAAAAGGAAUUACAAAGAAGAUGCUUAACAAACCAACCACUGCCAAUCUAAUAAUUAAUUUAUAUGUUUAGGCUACUAACCAUGUUACUUUUAUGUUAACUAAUGUCUUAAGCCUUGAGAUACCCAUAUAAUGCCCUAUUUUCUCAUGGUGAACAAUCUUUAAGCUGAUUCUCUAACAUGCUCCUCAUUUCCAAAUUCCCAACAUACUGUUUCAAAAUGAGUGAAACUUAUUGAAAUAUAUAAUAAUGGCGGCGUAAAGUUUAAGUUUCAAAAAAUAAUUCAACCAAAACCCAAAUUAUGGGAAUGAGAAUAAGCAAAAAAGCUUGGUUAGAAUGAGUUAUCAGUCCAGGCUGGUAUACAGUUUACAAAGGAAAUUAAAAUAAAAUAAUGAGAUGACAGUGCCUUGAAAUGAUUUUGUUUGUGGUUAAAGCAGCAAAACAAAGCUGGCAAUUAGUUUGAAUAUUAGAGCUUCGUCUAUAAAAGAGUUCCAUUGCAGUUAAAAGAUUGUGUUCAAUAUAUACAUAUAGCUUCUCUAACUUGGGUAACUUGUGAGAAAUGGAGGGAAGCAAAAUGAGCAUGAUUUUGAUUGCCUACAUCACACUUGUUGCGAGCGGAGCGAUGGGUUUGAGGGAGGACCAAGGAGCGGUUGCACCCUCACCAAUGGAAAGUGGCGGAGUGGCUCUGGGUGUUCCGGCCGCACUUGCUGCUGCCUUGGCUUCUAUGCUUGCAUUUGGCUGCUUCUUUUGAUUUUAAUUCCUUUGGUGAAUACUGUUUUCCAGUUUCCAUUUCCUUUCAUUUGCCAACUAGUUUCUUUCUCUGUAAAUUUCAUUGUUAUUUUUAAGUAAUUGAAUAAAAUCUUGAUUUAUUUAUUCUUUUUUGUUGUUUAGCUUUCUCAUAGCAAAUCUGGAACAGGUACUGUGCUGAAAAGGGGAUGUUAAAAACAAAACACACACUAACCAGAAGAAUAAAUAAGAGAAAUUUUGUUCAAGUGUUAAAACAGUUGAAUUUAUGUAGAUUUUUUCAAUUUUGUUUUUUUCUUCCGUUUCUUCAUACAACAACUCCUAUAGGCGUUUUGUGCCCAAGGCAGUAAGGGUUUUUUUCCCUCUUAGUUUUUGCGUAUGCCUAAAACUACAUAUAUGAAUGGUCUGAAUUUUUUAUUUAAAAUUCGAAUUUGGUGUCAUACAAAUAUUUCAUGUCAAAAAUAAUUUUGCUGAAAACAACUCCUAAAUUUUAUCAUAUACAUAACAGGAAACAAACAUAAAUGUAUUAGUUAAUUUUAACUAAAAAAAUAAAGGUCAAAUUGAUAAUAAAAAACAAUUGUAUACAUUAAUUAAUAAAGAAAACGUUCAAAUCAGGUUCCAAAGAACCAACUUAUAAGUACUUCAUUAAAGCAUUGAUCUCAACUUUCUGCAUCUUCAGUCUCCAAAGAAUACAUGUUACAUCAAAUUCGGGAAUAUGUAAGACCUAUUUCUGAGCACUUCACAGUUCACCUAAUAUCAGCUACACGACAUGAUCAUUCUUUUAAGAUCUUAGACUAAAUCAUGAGUAUUAUAACUUUCAUGUCACAAUGAAGCAGAACCAUCAUAGAAGAUCAGCUCCAUACCUGCUUAUUUUGGUUGAUCCUGGUCUUCUCUUACAUCUUAAACUAUCAUAUGCACGGUUUCUCCAGCUAUCAUCAAUAUAUUCUCAUCUUGCAAUUUCUGAAAAUUGUGAAAAAAAAAAAAAAACUGGCUGUUAUUGCAUACCCUUCCUGUAUAUUGGCAAGUUGGAGUGCAAAACAUGAAAAUUGCUGGUGCCAGCUUCAAAAUGUUACACCAAAUAACGGGAUAAAAAAUUGUCAAACAUCAUUUAGAAUAUGAAAACUUCAUGCUAAUAUUCUCGUCUCAAACAACGAUAUCUGAACAUUACCUCUAAUAUAGACAUGAUCUCAACCCUCGAGUAAUGGAUGUCAGCUCCUACGUUGACAAUAUCCUCUACUUCUGCAAUAGAUACGGUUUCCUUGUGGUUUGCACGCAUAUGCUGACCAAAUAUAGUUUUAAAAGCUUCUAUUCUGCAAUCCAUCAACAAGGAGAUACAAAAAGGAAAAUCAAAGGAACCCAUGAAACUGUAGAGCUGAUUUGGAGGGAAAACAUGUGUGAACUUGUAAUUGAAGUGUUUAGUAGGACACAGACCUUUCGACAGAACCAGUAGCAGUGGCCUGCUGGGCUAGUGGAGGAUCAUCUACUUCCAUAGCAUCUGCAGUUUGGCUAAUUUAAAGCAAGAUAAGAUAAGGUGAGCCACAUCUGGAAACAUUUUAAGCCUUUACUAAUUUGCUGAUCAAAUUUACAAAUGGAGAAGUAUCUACACUAUUCAGAUAAUCCAAUAGCUAAUAAUAAGUAAUGUUUGUUUGUAAAAUUAAACAUUGGGCAAUUGUAAAAUCCACAUUUCUUGAAAGGCUUAUAGCGUUCUCACCCUCGACGGUCAGCUCUUUUUUUUCUCUGUUGUUCUCUUUCCCGUUCUUGUUCGCGAUCCUCCAUCUCAGUCAAUUCUUUAUGAUAAAUAGCAAAAUUUAGAACUUUCAGACCAGCUUCGACAUCAACUUUCGUAAUCUGCCAUGAUAAAUUAUCAUGCAAUCGAAGUGUGAAUAAACACAUAAGCCCAAAAGGAAAUAUAACGAAGCAGCCACAAGGCCAAACAUGCAAUUGAAAGACAAACAUGGAAUCACCAUAAUAGUUUUGAUUACGGUUGACCCUAAAGAAUAAAUAUGGAAAUUAAACAGAAAUAAAAGCAAGUUUCAGAAAAGAAAACUAUAUGAACAUUGCCACAAAUCCCAAUACCAUCAGAUUACAAGUAGAGGGCUGCUUUCUUUUUAAGAAAUCAUUACCUUUCUGCUUAACUUCAACUUUGCAUGAGCAGUUGACAGACGAAUAAUGGUUUCCAAGGUUCUAGCUGUGAUUGGAAGGGUUCCACCAGUCUACAAAUGCCAACCACAUAUCAGACUUGCCAGUUGAGGUAACUAUAUCAAGAUAUGUCAGCUGAUUAUAAAAUCAAACCUUUGCAUUUGAACUGGCAUUUCUGAGAUCUGCAUAAGCUGUUGCAAUUUGUUCUGAAGCCUGCAGAUGAGAAAACUUUAGAGUAAGCUGAGGAUAAGUAUGUUAAGAAUGGUAGGGAUCUUGGGGAGACAAGUUAACAUGUAAUGAAUGUUUCUUCCUGAGAAGACACUGCAGAAUUAUCACAGUAUUUCUAAUGAUUAAAACUAAAGAAAGAGGAAGAAACUAGAAAGUAAUUCAAAUGGGAGGAUAAUCUAAAUGGAUUAAGUAAAAGAAAAGAAUAUCCACAACCUCAUCAGUUAACUCAGGUUGAAUCCUAUGCUUUGCGUAAUGAAUAUACUUUUUGAGGAACUUUAUAGUAAGAGUAUCACGCUUCCGACCUCUUUCGGUCUUCCUCCCAUGCAGCAUUCGAUUAUACUUGACAAAAACAGAUGAGUCGGUGUCAGCUUCAUCUUCUCUUCCAUAUCUUGAACUUUCAUCAAGAGCUGCCUCACCUGCAUCAUUAACUACCUUAGUAGGUAUAUGUGCCAGUCUUAGGAACACAAGAAAACUCUUUGCCUACCUCCAUCAAUAGCAGAGCGAAACCGAUGCAUUCUCAAGACAUGCUCAGAGAUGUGACGAUCAAUAUCAGCAUCCAUUUGAUCCAAUACAAUAAACAGCAGAUCAAAACGAGAAAGCAAAGAGUCCGGAAGUCCAAUGUUCUUUGUUGGAGUCAACGAACGAUCAUACUGCAUAUUGAACCGAUAACUAGUAUAAACUCAAGAUGUACAUCCUUUCUAGCAGAGUGAAAAUGCAUCUUAGCAACCAAUAUACGCUUACAGUUCCAUAUAUAGGGUUUGCAGCAGCCACUACACUGCACCGAGCAUUCAAUGAUGCAUGGAUACCAGCUUUGGCGAUAGUUACAGUCUGCUGCUCCAUGACUUCAUGUAUCGCAACACGAUCUUGAUCAUUCAUCUUGUCAAACUCAUCAAUGCAUACAACACCUCUAUCACCAAGGACCAUGGCACCUGCUUCCAGUCUUCUUUCUCCUGAACACAGAGAUGUUUAAUUUCAUCAAAAGCACCAAAAUUUGGACUAUAAGCAGCAAGGCUAUAACAAUUGAAAUGCUUUACCAGUUUCUUGGUCGGAGGUAACAGCGGCUGUCAAACCAACUCCGGAAGAACCUCUACCGGUGGUUGAAAUAGCCAAUGGUGCAAUGUUCAUGAUUGCUCUUAAAAGUUGGGAUUUUGCAACAGAUGGAUCUCCAACCAUCAUCAUGUUAAUGUCCCUGGAAAAGAGCAAGACUUUAGCUUAUGUUUAGCAUUUACCUAAUCUUAAGACAUAGUGGUAAAGCUGCAUAAAGCAUACAAUCAGAAAAAUCAAGAUGCAGUUGGAAGGAAGGAAUAACAAUCAGUGGGGCAACUAUUUAUCAGAUAUAAUAUAUAACUUCAAAGACACUUAAAUAGUAAGAGUACAACUAACCCUCUUAAAUGAGUGCCAUUCUUCAAAUUCUUUUCCACUCCACCAAGCAUCAGUAAAACCACAGCUUUCUUUAUCCACGAAUGCCCAUAUAUUGAAGGUGCAAGGGAGUUACCAAGCAAAUCAAAUGUGUCAUCUCUCUCUGCUAUCUUCUUAAUAUUUUUCAGGUCCUCUGGGCUGUAGAUAGGUGCAUUAGCCUCUUUGUUGAGCAGAGAGACAUUAUUAGCUAUAAGAACAGUCCUGCAUUGAAAAAUUACUCAGUCAGGAUUUGCAUAUUGGAAAAACUGAGUUAUAAUGAUUAAAAAUUACUUCCAAAUGAUGCACUACAUAUGUGAUACCUGAAAACACCGUUCACACUGCCCUUACUUUUUCCUGGAAGAGCUUUAUAUAUCCCUACAAUAGCCACACGAUCUCCAGGCUUGCAUGAAUCAACCAGGUCAUCCUCAACUAAGGCAUCAACGGUUCGAGGAAGCUGACCAGGAGCAGCAUUUUCAGGUACUUCUUGAAUCGACAAGGUCUGGUGAUCUUUAUAUUGGCACAAACCAUAUUCAGUCACCAAUAAGUUUCCAUUUUCAUCCUGAAAGAAUAUUCCCCACGAGACAAUGCUUAAUCCAAUAGCCAUACAGAUAUGAGGAGAUCUAGACAAUGGAAAUUACCCUGGUAGGAUACACGGAUCCGGUUGGCAAACCAUUGUUGGAGGUGAUGUCUCGAUAUUCCCUAACGGUGAAGUUUUCAGUGGCAGGACAAAAGUGAACACUUUUAACAACCUUCGGUCUUACCAGAGAACCUAAAUUGAGAUAGGAUCAUGUUAAUACAAAGCAAAACAAAGAAAAAUCAUUUAUAGGGAGAGUUCCCAAAAGCAUUUAGCGAAUUUUCAAUACCCAAACUAAUCAGUUUUUAAAGCAUGUGCCUCCUUUUAACAAAAUCCUAGAUUCAACUUUUAGCACAUUAUAUGAACAAACAAAUAGUAGUGUAAUUAUGCUUCAACUUGAAAGGAAGCAAAAAGAGCGGAGUAUUCGAGAGUAACGAUACAUUUGGUAACAAUGCCAACGACGCAGACCAUGGAGCCAAUAAAUUCGGAAAGGAGCUCUCUGGGUGUGACGCGACGAGAAACAAAAGGACCUUCAAAUCCCACAUGAACUAUUUCUCCUUCUUUCAAGUACUUCGGGUCAAUACUUUUAGCAGCUUCAGUCACCGCAUCGAAAAAUGGUUGCAUAUAUUCACUCGGAUUCUUCAGAAUCCUAAAAACUCAAAACAAUGAAGAAAAAACUCAAAUCAGUUUAAACAAGCCAACGCUUAAAAUGAUGAGGAGAAAAAGAAAAGAAAGUUCUGCGAGAAGAGAGCGAACCUAGUAGCCAAGUUGUUAAAAGAGUGUAGAUCGGAGAUGUUGACGAUGAGACGGCGACGCUUGUGAUUUAUCAUUGCCUUGAUUUCAUCUUGGUAAAUCUGAUCGAACAAACAAACAAAAAUGAAACCGUUAUUAACAUUGAUAGUGUUUAAAAAAAAAAAAAAACAGAGAACGACUACAAGAGAAGGUAAUGGGGGAAAGUACAUCUUGAGACAGGAAUUGGCUGAUAUCUUUCUUCCUAUCAGCAAAAUCUUGAGCUCCCAACUCCAUUUUUUUUUCCUUCUUACUGUACUACAGUAUUGAGACCAAAGUGCUAAUUCGAUGAGCUACUUUUCCUUUUUCUUCUUCAGCCCUAGACCCUGGUAUUGGCGGGAACAAGUGAGAUGAUGGCUGUUUUGGCGGGAAUUGAGUCAAUGUAUAUAUUUUAAAUAUUGUGCGAAGCGUAUAACAACUAUGACUUCAUGACCCAAUGGGUAUGGCGCUGGUCUACGGAUGAAGAGGUUCUGGGUUCGAUCCCCAGUGGAGGUGGAUUUGUUUAUUUUACUUUGAUUUUUGGUAUUGUAAUCCAAAAUAAAUAUUGGGCUCCCAUAAAACCCAUCUGUUAUGAAAAUCCGGAGCCAGAGGGCUUAAUGUUAUUUCGCUGAUUAUUUGGGAGUUGAUGAGUCUUAUUUUAUCAUUCUAAUUCGAUUGAUAUUGAGUUAAAUUUAAAAUUUUAACAUUCUUUAGAUUUUUUUAAAUUUUUAUAUAUAUUUUUAAAAAAAUACAAAUUUUGGAAUUUUUAUAAAUAUUUAAAUUUUGUUUUUUAUUUUUGUUGAGGCUUGAGAGUGACCAAUUUGCUAAUUUUAAAAAUCGACGGGAACUAAAAAGAUAUUUACACUAAUCUGUCAUUCGACUCGAACUCAAAACAAGACUCGAAUAAUUCAAAAUUUAAAAUCUUUUUCUUAAAUUGACUUUUACUCACCCCUAAUUAUUAUCAUGAACUAUCACCUCAAAUAUAUAGUGAUUAAUCAUAUCUAGUUAUUUAUUAAACUUCACAACCAUUCCAACAGAACCACAAAUUACAUUGAAUAUGUUUCAAUUUAAUUUAACACCAGUAAAGGUCGAUUGUGCAUUAAAUUAUAGUGUUAUUGCUUUUGCAGAGAUUGGGGGUUCAAAUGCUGUCGAGGGAAUAAAGAAAUCAGACGAUGGUCUGCGAAGAGAUGUAGUAAGGAGGUAAAAGGAGGAGGAGAAGAUCCCUCCCCAAGGUUAGAGGGCUUAACUUAGAUCGGUCACUUAAAGCAGCACAACCAGAGAGGUUCUGUUUAGGCGGGAAUUUACCCAAUAGUUUAUAAAUCCAAUCAAAGUAGUAAUGAAGAGCAACCCAGUUCACAUGGUACGUAUUUAAAACAGAACAAAAUCUCUCCUUCAUUAAUUGCCUCAUCAAAUAUUGUCGUGUUGGUGUUGAAAAUAUACGAGUUCACCAAUUCCUAGGCUAAAGCUAGAAUUCAACUCAAAAUCAUUCCGAAACUGACAAAAUCACAAAUUGGCUCUCACGAAAAGUUACACAAGGAUUGAAGCAGCCUCCACAUCCACAAACAAAUACCUGACUCGCUCUUUUAAGGAUCAAUAUUCUCUAUCAUCAUCUUUCCUAACAAAUGCAGAACACGUAAGUAACAGACUUUCAUGGCUUGAAGGCUGAAAAUGCCACCACCGAGUUGUGUCCUCCAAAUCCAAAUGAAUUUGAGAUUGCUGAAUCCACAAGAACAAGUCGAUUAGAAUUACAGAACACACAGGUUCUGGAUGAUCCGUAUCCAUCAAAAUGUAAGUAUAUAGACAGAGAUGGUGUGCUUCCCAAGAAAGGAUAAAGAGUCUUACCAACAUUAACCUCGUGCUGCUGCUUUUUGUUGGCAACAGUGUCAAAUUCAACUGAUGGCUCUGGAUUCUGCAUUCAAAAAAUUUAGCACUUCAAGGUAUCUAAAGAGAUCUAGCAUUUAAACAUGAAGUAGAGGAAAGAACCAAAUAUAUUUUAAACACUCCCAAAAUGUUCUUUUCCAAGUAGUAAAAAAAUAUUGAGUUACCAAAAAGGGGUGCCAUAAAUAAACAUAAAAAUUUGAAAAAACAAAACAGAGUUCAGGCGGGGUUUGGUCCCCAUUAAAUCAAAUAUUCGAGACUUGGUAGACAAUUUGAAGAAAAAUUAGUAAUGGGGAAUUACUGUAAAUAAAAGUUUUAAAGAAAAAGGAAAACCGAUAAAUGACCAAGACUCGCACACACUAUCUUAAGUUAGUUUUAAUACACUUUACAGAACAAACAAGGUGCAUUAAACAGGAAACUGGCACAUACAAAUUGGUUUAUGGAGGGAUGCAGCCAUCCCGUGGUAAUGGCUUUCACCGUGGCAAUGGCUUCUAAACCGCCUGCUGCACCCAGACAGUGCCCUAUCAUCGACUGAAACAAAAAGCAAAGCAUUUUAGCCAAUAGCAAAAGCGUAACAUCACGGCAUGGUAAUCUCAAAUUUUGCAAGAGAAAGAAAAGGUACCUUUGUUGCAUUGAUUUUGAUGCCAGAUGUAUUCUUGAAUACCUUUUUAAUAGCGUUUAUCUCAGCCAGAUCACCAGCAAGAGUAGAAGUUGCAUGUGCAUUUAUGUAGUUUACCUGAAAUACGGAACUUACUUAGUUCGCUAAUUUUUCCACCUUUGGAACCAUGCAUAAAUUUUAGAAAACACAUAUAUUCUUAAACCUAUUAUUGAUGUUAAGUCAACAACACUGUGUUAACUAGUCACUAUAAUGAUUUAUGAACCGCAACCAUUAGAACGGUUCUCUACAGUCUCACUUAAAAUUGGAACCUGGAUCUAAUAGAUAAAAUAGAAGUUAACUCGAUACAGAUUUUGUGAAGACAAGCCAAAGACAAACAUUAAAUGCACCAUAAAACAUAGAAUUUGGAGUGCUAUCGAUUCACCCCCGCCCCCCAAACUCUAAAUGCCUGCACAGGAGUCAGCAAACCUAGAUAGAAAGAAACAACAUAACAUGGGAGAAGAUGAAUAUCUAGAAACCAGAACAACCUAACUGGAUUUCCGCACCAUAUAUUAAGAGAAUUGGUUGAAAAAGCAUAGAAUCACCUCUUCAGGAGACACACCAGCAUCUUCAAGGCUUCUCUCAAUGCAUGAGGACACCCCAAGACCAUCAGAUCUUGGAUCAGUCAUAUGAUAAGCAUCACAAUUAACAGCUCCACCUAAGUACUCAGCAAUAAUUGGUGCACCUCUUUUCAUGGCAUGUUCCAAGCUUUCCAUUACCUGGAAAGCAAAAUAAACAACUCAUUAUAAAAGGCUAUGGCAUUUCCCCCAGUUCAAGAUCAGUAAGCAAGUAACAAUCAAGCCAAGAAUCUAUAUGGAAAAGCAGCAUCCACUGACUCAAGACCAUGUCUCAUUAAUCAAGUAGUUCAAAGUGAUAAAAAGAGGGGGAAAGUAUGCAAGUAUAACUGGAAAACUUUUCACGAAUUCCCAAGUCGGUGAAAAUUUAUACUUCAUUCCUACAAAAGACCACAAUAAUGCGUACAAAAGUUUACAUAGAUAGUGAAUUAGGUUCCAUCAGUAUAAAACAACACAAUACAAUGGCAAAGAUUUUGAUAUUGUAAAGGAAGUGUUCAGCCCCCUCCCUUCACCCCCACAUAGUCAGACUCCCCAUCAGGCCACAAAGCAUCUCUUAACAACAGUAUCAAGGAUCACCAAUGGAGGCAAAACAAGGUGCUAAACAGGCAUAAACAACAUAACAACUAAAAAAGAAGUCAAAUGAUGCAUAUAAAGGAUUACUAUGUAAACUUACCAAUACUCCAGCACCCUCACCCAUAACAAAGCCAUCUCGGUCUUUGUCCCAUGGUCUUGAAGCAGUUUGAGGGUCAUCAUUUCUUUGAGACAAUGCCCUGCAGGCAACAAAGCCCCCCAGCCCAAUAGGAAUAAUUGCAGCCUCAGUUCCACCAGCAAUCAUCAUUUCAGCCUCACCUCGACGGAUGUGGUUGGCAGCAGCAUAGAAGCAAUAAUUGGAGGUAGCACAAGCAGUUGAAAUUGAAUAAUUUGGACCCAUGAGACCAAGAUCAAUGGCUAGCAAGGCAGAUGACAUGUUUGUUAUAGCAUAGGGAAUGAAGAAUGGUGUUAUUUUUCUAUAGCCUUUCUCUAUCAGAUUUUGGACGCCAUCAGAGAACACUGUUAGACCACCCAUACCAGUUCCAACUAGCACUCCAGCUCGCUCCUUAUCGAUCUGCAACGUAUACAAAAUUCUGUAAGCAUUACAGGGAGAAAAAGUAGUAAAGGAACAUUAUUUAACGAAGCACUGCUAACAAGAGCCGAAGCUAAAUCACAAAAUAAAAAGUGAGUUGAUAAUCUAAAAACCAGACGAGAGAAAUAAUGAAUCCACAGUCCUGUAAGCACUCAUGUAAUUCUAAGAACAGAUUUCACUCUCAACAUAUCUUUUUCAUUCUGUAGGGUAGGAUUGAUGCAGGCGACUAUACCGAUGCUAUAAAACAUAAAACCCCAGUAAAUAUGCUCACAAAAAAUAGAAAUCAAAUAAAAUCAAUAAUGCUAAAAGAACAAUCGGGUAACAAGCACAAAAAGCAUCAGGGUUUGUAAAGUUAAAUUAAAUCUUGCUGAGGUUCGAAAGUCAUGCAAAUAAAGAAGCAACUCUUUCUUGUGAAAAUCGCACAUCAAGGCAAGCCAAGCCAAUAAAGGAAUAAACUUUGGGUCUCUAGUUCAGGAAUAAAACCUACAAAAAUGCAAAUCACUAGCAAAACAGCCCAAGUAACAAAACCCAACAAGCAAGAACCACUGAAAAACCCACCUUGGAUAACUUAUCGCCCCCGAGAUCAGCAUCUUCCAAAGCCUUCUUUCCUGCAACAAUGCAGUACCUCAAGCAAUCGUCAAGUCGCCUAUCGUUCUUUCCGUCAAUGUAACCCUGAGAAGAGAAACCCCGGAUCUGACCGGCGAACCGGGUAGGAAACUUGGAAGCAUCGAACCGGUCGAUGAGUCCGAUCCCGCUUUCCCCAGCCAGCAACUUAUCGUAAUAAGCAUCGACAUCAUUCCCAAAAACGGAAACCAAUCCCAUACCCGUAAUAACGACCCGUUUUUUGGGGUCCUUCUCGCGCUUGGGAGCAGAUACGGUGGGGGAUGAAGCGGUGAUGGAAGAGAAUUUCUUGGUUGGCCUGGGAACGAGUCUCGAUGCAUUGGGGAAAUGGAUAUUGAGUUUGGGUUUUUGGAGAGGUUUUAGAGGGGAAGCUCGAAGAGAUGAGGCUUGAAGAGCUUCCAUGACUCGUGGGAACUGGGGAAAGAGCUUAGGGCGAUAAUAACAAAGUGACACUGAGCAGCCAAUAAAAACGAAAACUUUACUGUAUAUAUAGUCAGAGCCUCAAAUCUGGAUUGUGGAACUACUUAGAGGGCUGCCUCCAAUUGCACUUAUGACUCACCUUACCGGCCGCCCAGCCACUGGGACGAGUUUAUAUAGCGAGGCUAUUAUCCACACAUUAUUUUAUUUUUAUUUUUGUUCAUUCGUGUAAAUCCAACUUCAUAAAUUCAUGGAAGGUGCAACUAAUCCUUAUACAUUCCGGAUUUCAAUCCUUUGGAAUGUCAAAUUAUUUCAUCCUUACACUAUAAAAAUGUUUAUUUUAUUUUAAAAUAUGGCUUUUUCAGUUUGAUUAUAAAUUAUAAUGAAUAUUUAUAAUUAUUUCAAUAUACAUUAUUUCUAAUUAUGCUCGUAUUUUUUAUUCUUUAAUAAUUAUUAUUAUCUUAAUAAGGAAAGUUUUACAGUUCUAUCCAAUCAUUUUUCCCAUAUAAUUUAUCUUGAGAAAUAUUUAAUGUAUCAUAAGUGCAUAAAUUUUAUGUACCUUUUCUGAAUAAUAUCAUAAUAUUUCUUUAUUAAAUGAAAAACAGUAGAGAAAUGUCAAUUGAGUCUUAAUUUAAUUGGCAUGGGUAAUAUUAUCAAUACAAAAAGAUGUUGUUUCGAGUGCACUGAAACACAAUAUCUUUUUAUUCAUGAGUUGGGAGGGGUUAUACCUAAUUAUAGGCAUUGCGUGGUGGAAAACUUAUAAAUAAAUCUUGAUAACUUUAUUUAAACACAAUUAAAUAAUAAUUAUUUAUAAAUAAAUACUAAAACCUUGAACUUUAUUUACAAGUCCUUCGUAGUUUUUUGUUUAAUUUAAUGAUAAUGUAUCAUAUUAUUAUUCACUAAUAGUGCAUGAGAUUUAUACACCAAUUAUGUGAGUAAAUUAAAAAAAAUGUUUGUUUUAAAACAUUUUUAGCAAAAUAGGUCGGUUUUUUUUUUCAAAUUUAGAAAAAUAGGUCGAUUUUGGAGAGAUAGAUAGAAAACCCUUAUUGCAGGAAGCGUUUUCAGCUGGCAUAUUGAAAAAUGCUUUUUACAAAACACAUUUUCUUUUGGCACAUUAACUCUCUUAGUCAGAUGAUUGAAUGUUAGUGAUUUUGUCCUUUAGUCUCGAGUUUGAUUUUUUUCUUACUCACAUUUGUAUUUUUUAAUUUCACGUUGUUUUAAAUUUUUUUUAAUCUUUAAUUAAUAAUUAUAUUAUUUUCAAAUUUUUAAUUCAUCUUUUUAAUUAAUAACUCUUUUAUUUAUAUAAAUAUGUAAGUAUAUAAUGAAAUUAUAUAAAUUUUUACACAUUUUAAAAAAAUUUGAAUUAAUGUUAUCAAUUAAUAAUUUUUUAUUUUUUAAAAUUUAUAGUUCUUUUAUUUAUAUAAAUAAAAUAAUAAAUAUGUAAUUAUAUAAUGAAAAAUAUAAAAUUUAUUUAUAACUCUUUUUAAUUAAUGAUAAAUAUAAAAAUCAUAUAAUUUAGUUAUAUAAUUACAUAAUUGUUAUUUUAUUUACAUAAAUAAAAGAAGUAUUAAUUAAAAAAAAGUUAAAAAUACUAUAUUUAUUAAUUAAAAAUUAAAAAGAAUAAAACAACAUAAAAUAAAAUAUACAAAUAUGAAGAGGAACGGAACUUGAAAUUGAAUGAAGAGUUUCAUAGAAAGUGUUUUCCAACAUAUGUGCUGAAAAUGCUAAUUGAAGAAAGUAUUUAUUUUAUUUCUUUCUCCAAAUGAAAAAAACCGAUCUACUGUACAAUUUUUCCUAAUUUUCCGCCAGAUUAAAUAUUAUUGCUUGCUCAUUCUUGAACAACUAUUUGUUUCUAUCCGCAACAUUUCGCUUCUUAAAAGGUUCGGAUUAUGUUAGUAUGAUAGUAUCGACAUCCAUGCACCAUACAUAUUUCUCCAAUACAAAAAUCCCUUUUAGCCUCAUCUCAUUUUCUCUCUAUAAACAAUUAAAUAUCCAAUACUAUUUUUUUCCUAAGUAUAUCUACACGCGCAAAUAUAAAUAUAUGUUGAAUUCCUUGUUCCUUUCAAUGGCAAUCAAUCCUCCAAAACUUUCGGCAUACGAAGGAAUAAUUUAAAUAUUUAAAAUAAACAAAAUUUAUAAUAGAUUAUUCUACGUAUCAACGAUAAGCAUUAAAAUAUCAUCUUCAAUCAUGGGCAAAGUAACUCGUAUGAUUUUCAUGAGUUAAUUGUAUACAUAUUUUAAGGGAGAGUAGCCGAGAUAUGAAAUCAAUGUAUGGAGAUGUCUUCUCUAAUACUUGUCAAAACCAUGUAUGUGAAAACUCGUAGCUUAACUUAUAAAAUAGUGUAUAUCUUGAUUAAAUAAGUCACGGUUUUGUCUUCAGAGUUUCUCCUGACAUUGAUGUGUUGACAUUCAUGGCAUUUCUGCAAGAGGAAGAAGACGCAAAUGUUUGUCAAUGUUGCCACUACUUUUGUGGAUUUAUAUGACCUGUUUAGGCUUGCUGAAGUUUUUUAGUAAGCUUGUAUAGAGAUAUCAUGACAAUAAAAAAUAUUAGUGCACGGCAUAGGACGCCAACGAUAUUGAUGGUUGAUUGUUCAUAUUCAAGCUCUGGACUUGAAAAGGGAAUUAAAAGCUACAUGUGAUAUUGCAAGCCAGAAAGGAGCAGGGUUUGGAUCCGGCUGUUCAUAGUAAAUAUUCAUGGAUUUUAUGCCUACUGAGAGCUGCAGCUGCUGCUUUCUUCUUUUUUGAAAUUCCCCUCGUCCUCUAUUACUUGAAUGUUGGAUCAGGGGAUUAUGCCUUCUUCUUCUUCUUUCUCUGAGUUUGUAUUGUUUAAUAAAACAAUUAAAUCCCAGCCUUGAUGCAUAUUUCAUUCUAGCUUUUAUACCAACAUAAUUUUUAGUUUCUAUAAUUAAUAAAAAUGAGUAUCUUAUCCAAUUUUGAUAAGGUUAAAUUACACCAAUUAUAAAAAUUUUCAUAUUAGGCACUCAAAAUAAAAAUUUUAUAAUUUGAGCACUUAUGUUACAUAGUUCCAUAAUUUUGACCACUCCUAUUAAAAUCACAAAUGGCAAGUUGGCAUGACAGUUAAAAAAUUAAUAUAAUAAUAAAUUUAGUCUUCAACUUUUAUAUAUUAUAUUGAUUUAGUCAUAAAUUUAAAAAAUUAACUGUUAACAUUUACAAAUAUUUUCAAUUUGAUCCUAAUUCUAAAAAAAAUCAAAGAAAUGCAUAAAAACAUAUAAAUAUUUUAAAUAUAUAUAUAUAAAUUUAAAAUUAUAUAUAUAAAAAAUUAUUGUUGACAAAAAAAAUAUAUAAAAUGUAAUAUUAAUAUUAUAAUUUAAAUUUAUUAUUAUAUUUUUCGAGACUAUUUAUGUAUUUUUAAAUUUUAUAUAUUAUUUUUUUGUGAACAAUCAUUUUUUAUUUUUAUAUAUUUUUAAAUUUAUUAUUAUAUUUUUGGAAAUAUUUAUGUUUUUCAUAUAUUUCUUUGAAUUUUUUAGAAUUAGGAUCAAAUUGAAAAUAUUUGUAAAUGAUGAGGGUUAAUUUUAUAUAUUAUGACUAAAUUGAUAUAAUAUAUAAAGGUUCAGGGCUAAAUUUAUUAUUAUACUGAUUUUUUAACUUUCACGUCAGCUUGUCGUUUGUGAUUUGAACGUAAGUGACCAAAAUGGCCGAACUAUGUAACAUAGGUGCUUAAAUUACAAUUUUUUUUAUUUUAAGUGCUUAAAAUAAACAUUUUUUAUAAUUAAGUGACUAUUUGUGUAAUUCACCCUUUUGAUAACCAUAUUACUGUGACUUUGCAAUAAUCUUAGGCCCGGUAAUGAUAAGCUGGAACUUUGCUUUGUCUAACACGGGCAACCAGUAUUGACACUUGAUUCACUAAAACCAUGGAGUUCCUAUAUUUUGCAAUAAUUGUUCUGCAAACUUCAAAAGUGCCUGUUACUAGCCUACCCGUAAAAGGACGUGAACGAGUUAAAUGAGAGUGCUUGGUUCUGCAAACUUGAAAAACCUCCAAGGUUUUGCCCUUGUUUCAUUUCUUUUUGUUAAAUUUGGUUGGCAACAUCUUGUUUCUCCCAAAGACUUAAGAACCAACAAAAAUCCCUGUCUUGCACCUAUAAUAGAAAAACAGAAAUCUCUGUCUUGCAUUGCAUUGCAUGAUGAGACCAUACACAAAAGCCAUAACCUGGUGAAAUGGGUAACUCGAACCCAUGAACAUUAUCACAACAGCAAAGUUCGUGGCAUUUUCCUUGGUUCGCAAUAUGGAAAUGAUUAAGGCAAGGAAGACAAUUUGUUUUUGUUUUUUCUUAAUUUCUUUUCACCAAUUGUUCAAGGAGCCAACCACUUAUACUUCAAGACAUCAUGGUAUGAAGUAUGAACACUCGGACUUUUGGAAAUGGAAAGUGGUUCCAUUUCUUUGCAUCCAUCAUUUUUACAAAAAGAGGAAAACCAGAGUAAUGAAACUUUAAAGAAGAAAUAGAAAGGCUGAAAAAGGGACAACAUUUCUUCAACAGAAGUUAAUUUAAUUAAACAUUUAACUUUACACAUCAAGAAAUUCGUGCACUAAAUUAAAAAAACUUCCCCGACAAGGAUUGAGGUUAGGAAGUUAGCUUUCUUCACCCAGUUUUCAACCACCUUUAAGUUCAACAAAGUCCUGGAAUUCAAAGCUUUUACCAAUUUCUUCGCCGUGAAAACCACCAUUAAAACGCAAUCCAUCACAUUUCCCUCUCAAAACCCCCGUCAGAACUCAGAAUUCAGACUAUUUUCCGACACCCAGAAAGAAAACAAUAGAUACAUUGAUAUUACAUAUAAAAUACGUGCAGAGGAGUGUCAAAAGUGACAUCCACAACAAAGAUAGAAGAAACAGAGAGUAGCCACCAAGUAAAUAGCCUCUAAAACGGAGACAAGCUUGAAAACUACAUUAUCAACGAAAGAGCGUUUAAUGUUUAGCCUCUUCCACUUGAAAGCAGAACCAAAACACUUCCAUCUCCAUGCUUCUUUCGUCAUAAACCUCUUGAACAACACCCAUCUCUUCGUUCCCCCCAUCACUUUUUUGGUUUGGGCUUUGAUAUUUGGUUGGAGAAGAAGAGAAGUUGAAAAGCAGUUUAUAUAUGAGAGGAAAAGUUCAGUUUACUGGUAUACACGGAUGAAAGAAUCGUUCGUGGGAGAGAGAGGGGGCAUUCAUUAUUUUGGUUGAAAGUCAGGGUUAGCCUUGCUUCGGCAGCUUUACACGACCAACUUCCCGCGUUUUG